UGUCCAUAAAGAAGCCUAAAAAAUACCCAAAAAGGAAAGAGACUAUCUGUUCUGUGUGCUUGCUUGUAAGUUCAGAGAGAGAGAGAGAGAGAGAGAGAGAGAGAGAGAGAGAGAGGUGCAAGUGGGUAUGUUUAGUUUACUAAUUUAGUUGGAAUUGUGAAGUUUUUAGAUUUUGAGGUUAUUGGGUUGUAAAGUGUUUGACUGGAUUGACUGGGUUUUUCUAGUUUCUACUUCUUCUUCUUCUAAUUCUUUCUUUCAAUAUUCUUUUGAUUUGAGUGCUCUUUGGCUUCUUCUUUCCUCUUUUUCUUCCUCGAGCUACUGACUUGGCUCCUUACUUCCCUCUCUAUUCUAUUGAAAUUUGUGGUUUGUAUUUCCUAGAUAUUUCUUGUUUUGUUGAUUUUUUCCAAAAGGGAGAGAGAGGCUUGGAAUGAUGAGGUUCCUUGUAUAUGUACUGUGUGUGUCUUGUAAUUUGUAAACCUUCUUACCAUGCAUAAUCAGUCUUUUUAGGCCA